rnacentral:snoRNA from 1 species
UUAGGAGUCAAAGUGGCAUAUUUUGGGAAUUAAACCGAAUUUGUGUCUCAAAUGCUCCAAAACUAACUAAAAGACGAACGGCAUCCUGUAUAAUCACUUAUAUUAUAACAGAUGACUUGUGUUUGUGUACAGUU